CAGGUUUAGCUUUAACUCCUCUCAUUAUGAAUAGUGUACAGACAUUCUUUGUGAAUCCUACUAAUCUCCAACCUGCUUCUGAUGGAUUCUUUUACAACGAUGAAAUCAUAGAAAGUGUUCCAGUUUUGUUUCUGAUAAUGGGAAGUGUUACUGGUGGUAUUCUACUGAUUGGGCUGCUUAUGUACCGAGACUUACCACGAAGGUCAAAUCAGG